rnacentral:misc_RNA from 1 species
GAAAUGCGAUAAGUAAUGUGAAUUGCAGAAUUCAGUGAAUCAUCGAAUCUUUGAACGCACAUUGCGCCCCCUGGUAUUCCGGGGGGCAUGCCUGUUCGAGCGUCAUUUCACCACUCAAGCCUCGCUUGGUAUUGGGCGACGCGGUCCGCCGCGCGCCUCAAAUUGACCGGCUGGGUCUUCCGUCCCCUCAGCGUUGUGGAAACUAUUCGCUAAAGGGUGCCGCGGGAGGUCACGCCGCAAAACAACCCCAUUUCUAAGGUUGACCUCGGAUCAGGUAGGGAUACCCGCUGAACUUAAGC